GAUGAAGAACGCAGCGAAAUGCGAUAAGUAGUGUGAAUUGCAGAAUUCAGUGAAUCAUCGAAUCUUUGAACGCACAUUGCGCCCCUUGGUAUUCCAUGGGGCAUGCCUGUUCGAGCGUCAUUUGUACCUUCAAGCUCUGCUUGGUGUUGGGUGUUUGUCUCGCCUCUGCGCGCAGACUCGCCUCAAAACAAUUGGCAGCCGGCGUAUUGAUUUCGGGGCGCAGUACAUCUCGCGCUUUGCACUCAUAACGACGACGUCCAUAAAGUACAUUUUUUACACUCUUGACCUCGGAUCAGGUAGGGAUACCCGCUGAACUUAAGCAUAUCAAUAAGCGGAGGA
rnacentral:misc_RNA from 1 species